AGUGUGAAGGACAUUUUGCCAGAGUGUCCACAAGCUGGUGGGGGCGGCGGUAGUGGUCCGUUGACGUCACAAAUAUGGGGAAGGGGGACAUUUCUCGAAGGAUUGUCCACAAGAGGGUCGCGGCGGUGGUGGAAGUCGUACCUGCCAUGAGAUAAACAAAAAACAAAAGAAACAUCAUUUUUAGUGCUCAUUUUUAAUGAAGAAGAGGGCAAUGUAGCAAGGGAUUUUCCUCAAGGAGGAAGCAUUGGUGGCAGCAACUGUUAUGAUUGUAAUGAAGCUGACCACACCUUGAAAGGCUGCCCGAAUCUCUUCAGUGAAUUGACGGAAGAUGGAAAGCAACAUGAGCAAUUCAUUCCAGAAGCUGUGACAUGUGAUGAAAAGGAACUGUUUAAGGGCAUCUUCUAUGCUACAGGAAAAGAUGUACUUCAAUACAUAACAUCAUUCGAAAAAGCCGGCCUGCACCAACUACUACUUCAAAACAUUAAGAAUUCUGGCUACAUAAAACCAACACCUGUUCAUAAAGCUUCAGUUGUAGUUAUCCUUGCCAAAAGAGGUUUAAUUGCUUGUGCGGUCACGGGCUCCGGAAAAACGGUAAUCCAACUAAUUAACGCUGUGUAAUUUUGAAACCUUGAUGCCCUCGUACUGACUUGAUUCGAAUGGGUCGGUAUGAACUGGGUAAGUUGAAGUAAAAGUAAUUUUGAGUGGGCACGCCGGUGAUUGCGACUACUAAAAGGUCCAAUUGCAUCUAAGAUA